rnacentral:misc_RNA from 1 species
AAGUCGUAACAAGGUUUCCGUAGGUGAACCUGCGGAAGGAUCAUUAUUGAAAUAAACCUGAUGGGUUGUUGCUGGUUCUCUAGGGAGCAUGUGCACGCUUGUCAUCUUUAUAUCUCCACCUGUGCACCUUUUGUAGAUCUGGAUAGUUUUCCGAAUGCCUAGCAUUUGGGUUUGAAGAUUGACUUUUCUGUCUUUCUUUACAUUUUCAGGUCUAUGUUUCCUCAUAUACCCCAAUGUAUGUUAUUGAAUGUAAUAAACGGGCCCUGUGCCUAUAAAUCUAUACAACUUUCAGCAACGGAUCUCUUGGUUCUC